ensembl:misc_RNA Y_RNA Y RNA
GGCUGUCCGAGUGCAGUGGUGUUUACAACUAAUUGAUCACAAGCAGUUAAGAUUCCUUUGUUCCUUCUCCACUCCCACUGCUUCAACUUGACCAGCCUUUA